rnacentral:lncRNA from 1 species
AGUUAUAGGCUAUGUCAGCUAAAGAAAAAAAUCAACUUUGCAGUUUUAAUUUUCAGGGCUAACGGGCAUGUAGAGUAGCUGGUUUUGUAAAAGUAUUAUAAAUAUGAAAAUCUGAGAAACUCCAAUUUUCUAGCGAGUACACAGGAUCAUACCUAAGUAAUUCACAUCGGUUCUUGUCCAUCUCGUUAUACACAGUUUUCUUCAAUAUACGGCUUAAAUGAAGAGGGAACCAGCAAAGAGCAAAAAUUACAACCAAGCAGAAAACUGUUUUUGCCACUUCUCGACGCUAAAGGAAAGUGAGAAAAAAAUAGGACAACAAAUUUAGUGUUUUUAUACUAGAUGCAAGAACUACAGUACCAAGAAGUAGCAGACACCAGAGAAAGAAUAAUUCAAAGAAGAGCCAGGAGAACAGCCUGGCUUACACUGCCUCUACCUCUUCAAGAUUCUAAGUUCCAGGUCUGGCCUCUGAAAGGAGCCUUGAGCCUGCUGGAGCAAAAACAGAGAGGACCCUGAGACUACAUGGAGGGGGAGAUGGGCUCUGCUGAGCUCAGACAUCCAGCUGUCCCUGCCAAGGUGCCAGGCAUGUGAGUGUUGGACCUCUGACACAAGCUCAGAGUCAGCUGAAGUCCACCAACCCCAGGUGACGUGACAAGGAGCAGAAGAAUUGCCCAAAUUCCUGACCUUCAACAUGGUGAGAUAUGAUAAAACGGUUGUUGUUCUGAAUUGCUAAGUUUUGGGGUAGUUAUCAAAGAGAAGUGGGGUAGCAAAAUUAACCAGUUGCCUGAUCUUGACAAUAGAAUAAGAUAAAAGAACAAAUAACUCAGUACGAUAGUGAACAGACUCCCAAAUAAGAUCCUAUUGCCCUAGCCAGCCUUGGACUUUGUCCAGUUCCCUGCUCAUGUCUUCUGGCUCAGACCCUUCCUCUGUGUCUUCACUAUUGUCAUGGUGCAAUAGAAAACCAUAACACCAGGAAAAUAAGGAGAAACCAAGUCCAACUCUAACAAAGAGGUUUUUCUGAAAACCACCUUCAUGUUUCUUGAGUUAGGAUAUACCUUUGAGAAUAUCACAGAGACCACUGAUCAAUUAUUUGAAAUGAUGGGUUCAAGAACUGACAUCAGCUUUUCAGCCAUAUAAAACAAAGCUGCCUCAUUAAUGGAUCUUUGCAACUUUUCCAAGUAUCUAAUAACACAUCACUCUGGAAUAGUUGUUAAAAGAGUUUUAUCUUUUUAUAGCCUUCUUCCCCAGGCAACUUUUAACAAGUUGGAUCUGUACCCAGACCUUUUUACUGGUCUGACCCCAUCAUCAUCAUCUUCCACUUUAACACGAUUUUGCAAAGAUCAACAGUGAUCCCUCCUACCCCUCUCCUGCUGCUGCUUUUUUUUUUUUUGCCUCCAAACAAACUCAAAGUAAUAUAUAAAACUUGUCACUUUCAGCAUGUAAAAAUAACUAUUUUAAUAGCUGGUAAUGGCUGGUUAUUCAUUUUUGUUGGGAAAAGUUUAUUCAUUAUAGAAGUAUACUGCCUUAGAAUUAAAAAGAUAAUUCAACAAGAAAGCUGGAUAGGGGUCAAAAUUUGUUUCUGAAUUUCUUCAGUUCCUGAUUUGUCUUUUUCUCAAAUGACCAAGGAUGUGAAACUAGAUUUGCGGAGGAAUUAUUCAAAAGGUUAAACUGAGACAAGUCCAUAGUUGAAAUUAGCAAUGAAAGCCUAUCCAUUCUGGCAGAAAUCAUGUGCUUUCUCUCAGUCCUGUUUAGCUUAUUCAGAUUAAAAGCUGAUAGUGAGAAAGCUAGAUAUUUUCUUUGAUCUUACAUCAUUCUGUAAUCAUUGAUUGACGAAGUAAUAAAGAAAUCCUAUAGAACUUGGAUGUAAGGUUUCUCUCAUUUUCUUUCAAACAACUCUGAAAUGUGAGAUAAUUAUGUUUUUAAAAUACUGUGUAAAAAAAUCAUGGGAACUCUUUGUCCUGGGCCAUAAUUUAUUCAGCUCAUAAAAUGAAAGCAGGGAUUCACAAACUGCAACAGGUUCCAAACUCCCUUUUCAUUCCUUGUUUCAUUUUAAAAAGUGUUUUUUAUUUUUUAUUUUUAUUUUUUUUUGUAGUAGUAGAAUAUAAUGCAACCAAAUUAAGAGUUAAAGCAAAUGGAAUCUUAUCUUCAGGAAUUAAGUGUGAAUGAUUCAUUCUCUCGUGUGAAAGCUUUUGAAAUAGAAAUGUCAAAUAGAUUCCCUACAUACAAGUCCUGAAGCUUAGGGUCAAUACCAAAUGAAAUGUAAAAAUAGUAAAGUGUGUGUCUAGGGAACAAAGAAUGAUUAGUUUAUUUUCAAGGAAAGACCUUUUGGAUUAAGGCUGAUUUUUGUGAGAGUGGAAUUUUAAAAUAGUUCAUUUCCUUGAUCUACAACUCAGAUCAAAUCUUAAUGAGAUAGAUUCUUGGCAUCAUUUUUUCUUACUUUCUUUUCUUUUUUUUCUUUUCUUUCUUUUCCUUCCCUCCUUCCUUCAGUCCUUCCUUUCUUUUUAACUAAGAAUGACUCACAUUUCAUUUGAUACACAACUAUUUAUCGUGAUGGAACAUCUUAUUUCUUUUUCU